GCAAGGCGGUGUGUCUAUAUUCCUCUAAAAUGGCUAAUUCAUCAAUCCGUUUUCUGAAUAAAAGUCAACCCUAUGUUUUUCAACCGUGGAGGUGAGAUUGACAGAAACGUCAAACACGGUGGAAAGACUUUCCGUCACCUGCUAAUCUGGAAAUCAAGUGAUUGAAUCACGACCAAGGAGAGAUGGGUUUGGGUUUGAUCUUGGAAUCGACUAAGGAUGAUGAACCAGAUCCAUAUACUCGCGGAUAUGUUGCUUUGUCGAUGACAAAGAAGAAAAGAAGGGAGGGAGCAGAAGGAGAGUAUUGUUAAUGGUAUCAGAGAGACUGUCAAAAACUCUGUCCCUGUUUCUCUUUUGAAAACAUGAAAAAUAUCAAAUUCAAGGAGUUUAGACAACAGUUUAGACACAACGGAAGGUUUUUCCUCGGCUAGGACAAAUUGAUGCAGUUUGCUCUUGAUCCUUCUGCUUGAGAUGAAAUCCAUCAUGCCAUAUUUAAAGCUUCCAAGAUUGU